rnacentral:rRNA from 1 species
AACGCUGGCGGCAGGCCUAACACAUGCAAGUCGAGCGGAAACGAUCCUAGCUUGCUAGGAGGCGUCGAGCGGCGGACGGGUGAGUAAUGCAUAGGAAUCUGCCCGGUAGUGGGGGAUAACCUGAGGAAACUCAGGCUAAUACCGCAUACGUCCUACGGGAGAAAGCAGGGGCUCUUCGGACCUUGCGCUAUCGGAUGAGCUUAUGUCGGAUUAGCUGGUUGGUGAGGUAACGGCUCACCAAGGCGACGAUCCGUAGCUGGUCUGAGAGGAUGAUCAGCCACAUCGGGACUGAGACACGGCCCGAACUCCUACGGGAGGCAGCAGUGGGGAAUAUUGGACAAUGGGGGCAACCCUGAUCCAGCCAUGCCGCGUGUGUGAAGAAGGCUUUCGGGUUGUAAAGCACUUUCAGUGAGGAAGAAGGCUUGUCGGUUAAUACCCGGCAAGAAAGACAUCACUCACAGAAGAAGCACCGGCUAACUCCGUGCCAGCAGCCGCGGUAAUACGGAGGGUGCGAGCGUUAAUCGGAAUUACUGGGCGUAAAGCGUGCGUAGGCGGCUUGAUAAGCCGGUUGUGAAAGCCCCGGGCUCAACCUGGGAACGGCAUCCGGAACUGUCAGGCUAGAGUGCAGGAGAGGAAGGUAGAAUUCCCGGUGUAGCGGUGAAAUGCGUAGAGAUCGGGAGGAAUACCAGUGGCGAAGGCGGCCUUCUGGACUGACACUGACGCUGAGGUACGAAAGCGUGGGUAGCAAACAGGAUUAGAUACCCUGGUAGUCCACGCCGUAAACGAUGUCGACUAGCCGUUGGGGUCCUCGAGACCUUUGUGGCGCAGUUAACGCACUAAGUCGACCGCCUGGGGAGUACGGCCGCAAGGUUAAAACUCAAAUGAAUUGACGGGGGCCCGCACAAGCGGUGGAGCAUGUGGUUUAAUUCGAUGCAACGCGAAGAAACCUUACCUACCCUUGACAUCGUGCGAACUUUCCAGAGAUGGAUUGGUGCCUUCGGGAACGCACAGACAGGUGCUGCAUGGCUGUCGUCAGCUCGUGUUGUGAAAUGUUGGGUUAAGUCCCGUAACGAGCGCAACCCUUGUCCCUAUUUGCCAGCGAUUCGGUCGGGAACUCUAGGGAGACUGCCGGUGACAAACCGGAGGAAGGUGGGGACGACGUCAAGUCAUCAUGGCCCUUACGGGUAGGGCUACACACGUGCUACAAUGGCCGGUACAGUGGGUUGCAAAGCGGCGACGUGGAGCUAAUCCCAUAAAGCCGGUCUCAGUCCGGAUCGGAGUCUGCAACUCGACUCCGUGAAGUCGGAAUCGCUAGUAAUCGUGCAUCAGAAUGGCACGGUGAAUACGUUCCCGGGCCUUGUACACACCGCCCGUCACACCAUGGGAGUGGACUGCACCAGAAGUGGUUAGCCUAACUUCGGAGGGCGAUCACCACGGUGUGGUUCAUGACUGGGGUGAAGUCGUAACAAGGUAGCCGUAGGGGAACCUGCG